CGCGGCCGCUAUUCACGCCGGCGUCAUUCGUAACGACAUCGGAGGAGACUGUAUUGUGAUGAAAGCCGUGGCAAAGAAGGGCUUUGCUGGCUCCACCCAGAACGGGAUCACCUCCCUCAAGAAUGCCGACUCGAUGGAUCAGGCCUUCGCAUUUGCAGACGGAGAGCCGAGAUGCUUGGGAGAGUCCUGGGAGGAGUUUGCGGGCUUCUGCUACAAAGCUUUUGAGGACAAGAAGGAGUGGGCCGCUGCUCAAGCUGACUGCAAGAAAUUGGGUGCCA